CCUACGGGCGGCAGCAGUGGGGAAUAUUGGGCAAUGGGCGCAAGCCUGACCCAGCAACGCCGCGUGAAGGAAGAAGGCCCUCGGGUUGUAAACUUCUUUUAUCAAGGACGAAACAAAUGACGGUACUUGAUGAAUAAGCCACGGCUAACUACGUGCCAGCAGCCGCGGUAAUACGUAGGUGGCAAGCGUUAUCCGGAUUUACUGGGUGUAAAGGGCGUGUAGGCGGGACUGCAAGUCAGAUGUGAAAACCAUGGGCUCAACCCAUGGCCUGCAUUUGAAACUGUAGUUCUUGAGUGUUGGGGAGGCAGGAGGAAUGCGGGGGGGAGGGGGGAAAGGGGGAGAUAGGAGGGGGAAAGCAGGGGGCGAAGGGGGCAGAAGGGAAAAAAACGGAGGUGGAGGGACGAAAGGGGGGGGAGCAAACAGGAUCAGAUACCCGGGUAGUC
rnacentral:rRNA from 1 species